CUUUACAACCAGCAAUAUGAGUUUUGGAGGCAUCUUAGUCAUUCUGGCAAUCUUUUUGCGUUCUCCACAAUCUCCAUCUAAAUUUGGAAAGUGUAAUCCUUUAAAUUGUAGAAAUGAGGAUUAACUAUAUUAUGACUAUAUAAGAUCAACAAUACUGCAACAAUGUAAUUGUUAAUUUCAUUAAACCUAAAUUUCUAGUAUGCA